ACAAUUUCAAAGAUGUGCAAAGAUUUCUCAAUGAUAAUUCUAAGAUCUGACUGAUCUGGGGAAUGCUGACAUCCUUUCAAGGUCUCACUCUGGGAGAAGCAAGCUACCACGUUGUGAAAAGCCCUAUGGAGAGGCCCACAUGAUGAGGAACUGAAGCUUUCAGCCACCAGCCAGGGAGGAAUGGAGCCCUGUCAGCAACCAUAGGAAUGAACUUGGAAGCAGAUUCACCAGCAACAGCCUAGCUCUGGUCAACAGCUCUAACAGCCUCAUGAGAGACCUGGUAGCAGAACCAUGCAGAUAUGCUGCUUUUUGAUUCCUCAGAAACUGUGAGAGAAAAUAAAUGUUUGUUUUUUAAAACUGCAA
rnacentral:lncRNA from 10 species